rnacentral:tRNA from 1 species
GCGGGUAUGGCUCAGUGGUAGAAUGCAUGCUUAGUGUGCACAAGGUCCUGGGUUCAAUCCCAGUAUCUCCA